AAAACUUUCAACAACGGAUCUCUUGGUUCUGGCAUCGAUGAAGAACGCAGCGAAAUGCGAUAAGUAAUGUGAAUUGCAGAAUUCAGUGAAUCAUCGAAUCUUUGAACGCACAUUGCGCCCAUUAGUAUUCUAGUGGGCAUGCCUGUUCGAGCGUCAUUUCAACCCUUAAGCCUAGCUUAGUGUUGGG
rnacentral:rRNA from 1 species